rnacentral:rRNA from 1 species
GGCUUCCGGAGCUAACGCGUUAAGUCGACCGCCUGGGGAGUACGGCCGCAAGGUUAAAACUCAAAUGAAUUGACGGGGGCCCGCACAAGCGGUGGAGCAUGUGGUUUAAUUCGAUGCAACGCGAAGAACCUUACCUGGUCUUGACAUCCACGGAAGUUUUCAGAGAUGAGAAUGUGCCUUCGGGAACCGUGAGACAGGUGCUGCAUGGCUGUCGUCAGCUCGUGUUGUGAAAUGUUGGGUUAAGUCCCGCAACGAGCGCAACCCUUAUCCUUUGUUGCCAGCGGUCCGGCCGGGAACUCAAAGGAGACUGCCAGUGAUAAACUGGAGGAAGGUGGGGAUGACGUCAAGUCAUCAUGGCCCUUACGACCAGGGCUACACACGUGCUACAAUGGCGCAUACAAAGAGAAGCGACCUCGCGAGAGCAAGCGGACCUCAUAAAGUGCGUCGUAGUCCGGAUUGGAGUCUGCAACUCGACUCCAUGAAGUCGGAAUCGCUAGUAAUCGUGGAUCAGAAUGCCACGGUGAAUACGUUCCCGGGCCUUGUACACACCGCCCGUCACACCAUGGGAGUGGGUUGCAAAAGAAGUAGGUAGCUUAACCUUCGGGAGGGCGCUUACCACUUUGUGAUUCAUGACUGGGGUGAAGUCGUAACAAGGUAACCGUAGGGGAACCUGCGGUUGGAUCACCUCCUUACCUUAAAGAAGC